rnacentral:rRNA from 1 species
AUUGAACGCUGGCGGCAUGCUUUACACAUGCAAGUCGAACGGUAACAGGUCUUCGGAUGCUGACGAGUGGCGAACGGGUGAGUAAUGCAUCGGAACGUGCCCAGUCGUGGGGGAUAACGCAGCGAAAGCUGCGCUAAUACCGCAUACGAUCUAUGGAUGAAAGCGGGGGACCGUAAGGCCUCGCGCGAUUGGAGCAGCCGAUGUCAGAUUAGGUAGUUGGUGGGGUAAAGGCCCACCAAGCCAACGAUCUGUAGCUGGUCUGAGAGGACGACCAGCCACACUGGGACUGAGACACGGCCCAGACUCCUACGGGAGGCAGCAGUGGGGAAUUUUGGACAAUGGGCGCAAGCCUGAUCCAGCAAUGCCGCGUGCAGGAAGAAGGCCUUCGGGUUGUAAACUGCUUUUGUACGGAACGAAACGGCUCUCUCUAAUACAGGGGGCUAAUGACGGUACCGUAAGAAUAAGCACCGGCUAACUACGUGCCAGCCGCCGCCGUAAAAC